UUACAGAGAAUUGAGAGAAUAUUUGAAAAAUAUGCCUCAAAGUAUGCCCUCGCCUCCAUCAUGCAGCAGCAGCAGAAACCUGUGUCGGAUUCAGAUGAGAGAAUCUGAGAGCUCCGAAGGUCGAUUCGAGUGGCUCAGGCUCUGAGUUGGGUUCAGAGUCUGGGGUCGGAGUCAGAACCAAGUUCUGAAAGUGAAGCAAGGCAUGGUAUUGGGAGUCACAGUUGAUGAGCAAUCACGGAAAGAAGGUUAAGUCUCAAUUGAAUGGUUCAGAGCACUUCGCUGUCCACGAGUUGGAGAAUAGUUUGGAGAUUUGUACCGUUGAAUUAAUAGCUGCAUGGUGCUUUUGCUGGUGUAAGUAUUUGGAAUUUCCCAGCUGCCAUGAAUUGGACUGAGUAUGGUGUGGGAUUCUGAGUGCUGGCCGUACUAAAGACUCACUAAUUAAUAAAUUUAUGUGGGAAGUACCUUACUGCCUUCA